CCAAGUGGAUGUUUGGUGUAGGCUGCAACCGGUCACCCAGAGCUUUCAUGCAAAGGCGUUACCAGUGGGUUGCAAAUUCUCCAUGGCAGCUGUGCCCUCAUCACUGGUGCUCAAGUUUAUUGGACUGGAUAAUUUCGUUGAACCAAUUUUCAUGUUCACUGAUUCUUCUGGCUGCUGAAAUCAACUAUUG